rnacentral:rRNA from 1 species
UACGGAGGGUGCAAGCGUUAAUCGGAAUUACUGGGCGUAAAGGGCGCGUAGGCGGGAUGGCAAGUCGGUCGUGAAAUCCCUCGGCUCAACCGAGGAACGUCGAUCGAUACUGCUGUUCUUGAGGAUUGCAGAGGAGACUGGAAUUCCCGGUGUAGCGGUGAAAUGUGUAGAGAUCGGGAGGAACACCGGUGGCGAAGGCGGGUCUCUGGGCAAUUCCUGACGCUGAGGCGCGAAAGCGUGGGGAGCAAACGGG